AUAACUUCCAAUUUAAGGAGAUAUAGGACAAGGCAAGAAGGGUGGAAGAAGGCAUAAGAGAUCCUCACGUGGCAUUAUCAGGAUAAAAUUUGUUAAUGUCCAACUCCCAGUCCUGAUUGCAUUGGAGAAGAAGCCCUCUGUGGAGCCUCCACUCUCAUUAUUCUAUUGAGAUCCAUGGAAUUAGGAAUUCCCAUCCUCAGUUUCUUCUUGGAGGUACAGAGCAGUAGCAUUCCAUGAAGGAGGAACUUCAAAAGAGAUUGUGUAAUUCAAAGUGUGCCGGACCAGUCAAAGAAUCCUGCGUCAAAAUCAAGAGAAUGAACAAGCCUUCAUCGCCAUGGCACAUUUAUAUAAAAAGAAAGGGAGAGAAGUUGGGGGAAGUCAGGGACCCCAAACAGAGGGACUGGCUGAAGCCAUGGCAGAAGAACGUGGAUUGUGAAGAUUUCAUGGACAUUUAUUAGUUCCCCAAAUUAAUACUUUUAUAAUUUCUUAUGCCUGUCUUUACUGCAAUCUCUAAACAAAAAUUGUGAAGAUUUCAUGGACACUUAUCACCUCCCCAAUCAAUACCCUUGUGAUUUCCUAGGCCUGUCUUUACUUUAAUCUCUUAAUCCUGUCAUCUUAUAAGCUAAGGAGGAUGUAUGUUGUCUCAGGACCAUGUGAUAAUUGCGUUAACUGCACAAAUUGUAGAGCAUGUGUGUUUGAACAAAUAUGAAAUCUGGGCACCUUGAAAAAAGAACAGGAUAACAGCAAUUGUUCAGGGAAUAAGAGAGAUAACCUUAAACUCUGACCGCCAGUGAGCCGGGCGGAACAGAGCCAUAUUUCUCUUCUUUCAAAAGCAAAUGGGAGAAAUAUCGCUGAAUUCUUUUUCUCAGCAAGGAACAUCCCUGGGAAAGAGAAAACACACCUGGGGGUAUAGGUCUAUAGAUGGCCCCCCCGGGUGUGGUCGUCUUUUAUGGUCUGUAGACUGUAGGGGUGAAAUAGAUCCCAGUCUCCCAUAGCACUCCCAGGCUUAUUAGGAAGAGGAAAUUCCCGCCUAAUAAAUUUUGGUCAGACCGGUUGCUCUCAAAACUCUGUCUCCUGAUAAGAUGUUAUCAAUGACAAUGGGGCCCGAAACUUCAUUAGCAAUUUUAAUUUCGCCCCGGUCCUGUGGUCCUGUGAUCUUGCCCUGCCUCCAUUUGCCUUGUGAUAGUCUAUUACCUUGUAAAGUACGUGAUCUUUGUGACUGACACCUUAUUCGUACACUCCCUCCCCUUUUGAAAAUCCCUAAUAAAAACUUGCUGGUUUUGUGGCUUGUGGGGCAUCACAGAACCUACGGACAUGUGAUGUCUCCCCUGGAUGACCAGCUUUAAAAUUUCUCUCCUUUGUACUCUGUCCCUUUAUUUCUCAAAUGGGCUGAUGCUUAGGGAAAACAGAAAAGAACCUACGUGACUAUCGGGGUAGGUUCCCUGAUAAGUAUUCUUAGCAGAAGGCACAGCAAGAGCAAAGGCCCCCAGAGUGGAAUGAACUCGGUUUGUGCGGAGACCUGAGAAGCCCUGGUGGCCAGCACACUUGGAACAAGGGGUGGGGCGGCUAUGAGUAGAUACGCCGCGGGGUCCUGGAGGGCUCCCAGGAGCACAGGCACGUCCUGGUGCAGAAGAGGCCUGCAGAGGGCUGCAGGCAGGGCAGAUAUAUGUGAUUUACACGUCAGGAAGAUUCUUUCAGCUGGCUGCUCUGGGAAGGAUAAAUCAGACGGACAGGAGGGAGGCAGGAAGGCUGGCCAAGUGACCAUUUAUAGGGGGGACGUUGCAUCUAGAGGUGUGGUCUUGGGAGCCAGUAAGCAGGAGUUGGAUUCAGAAUGGACUUUGGAGGGAGAGCUCACAGGAUAUACUAUUGGAUUACAUGUAAGGGUGAGAAAAGGAGAGGGUUUUUUGUUAUUCCUGAUGAAAAAUGUAUUUCAUACUCAUUACAGAAAACCUAUAAAUCUUAGGACAGUGUCAUCAGGCUACCUAUUUUAAUGUGUAAACUUAGCUUUUCCUUGAACAAGAAUUCUACCAUUACUGUUAUUCUUUUGAAGAUUUCAAUGUGCCUUAUGAGAGGUUUGGAGGAUUAUUGAAGUUUAAAACAACAAAAAUUGGAGAGAAAAACCCAUUUCACCCUGUUUAAUAUAGAAUUUCCUAAUUGCGUUGGAUCUUAAAAUCUUAUUUGCUUAUUUAUUUUUUUGGAUGGCUGUUUUGUAUAACAUCUAUUACCAUCCCUAUCAAUUACUACCAGAAAACAUGAUCUAAUGCUGCAUCGGAUCUUUCCCCCUUGUUUCUCAAUAUUUUUCUUACAGGUCAAAUUAGAUCCGGAAGUUCCAAGCUCAGACUCAUUUAUGUGGUGCACCAACACAGUUCUCCAUGAAAACUUUAUGGGGAUUUAACCUUGUGUUGGCUUUUAUCCCUUUUCUUAACAUUCUAAAAGGCAAAUGUUGUCUGGUUCUUUGUUUCAUAGGUUUUGUUUGUUUGUUUUUACUGUGUUCCUAAUCUAGAGCUGUUCUAUCUACCAACUAUUCUGAAAAAAAGAGGCAGGGAACUUGUAUAAAAUUAUGUUUAAAAUUGGUAUUGUCUCACAAAUGUCUUUCUCUUCAUGUAGAAAGUGAUAGCCAGAGGAUUAUGACCUAAGCUGAUAGCAUUCCACUAGUACAGAUAAGGAAAACUGAGUUUUAAAGCCAAUAAUGCACAUCUAAGUGUACAGACAAACUCCUUAAUUUAAAUCUAAGCUUGUUUACUUAAUUUGUAAUUUGGGAGCAACAGAAGUGGGUAUUUAGUGAGGGCCCAAAUAUCCCGGAGGGGUAGUAGGACAAAUAUAUAUUUUCUUUGUCCUUGUAUGACUUGGAAUCGUCUAAACUGUCAAGAAAAGAAAAAACAAAAACAUAUUGUUUUCAAUAUUUUGGUCAAAUGUUGGUAAUAAUAAUAAUGAAUUCUUUUAUGCCCUGGCAGCAAUUGGUGCUGUUUAUAUCAUUAAGGUAGACAAAGUGUGCCUUACACUCAGCUUUAAGAUUUUAAUAAAGGAAAAAAUCUGUUGGAAG
rnacentral:lncRNA from 1 species